rnacentral:rRNA from 1 species
CCUANGGGAGGCAGCAGUGAGGAAUAUUGGUCAAUGGGCGACAGCCUGAACCAGCCAUCCCGCGUGAAGGAAGAAGGCGCUAUGCGUUGUAAACUUCUUUUCCAGAGGAAUAAAAUUUUGUACGAGUACGAAACUGAAGGUACUCUGGGAAUAAGCAUCGGCUAACUCCGUGCCAGCAGCCGCGGUAAUACGGAGGAUGCGAGCGUUAUCCGGAUUCAUUGGGUUUAAAGGGUGCGUAGGCGGACUAAUAAGUCAGUGGUGAAAACCUGCAGCUUAACUGUAGACGUGCCAUUGAUACUGUUAGUCUUGAGUAUGGUCAAGGUAGGCGGAAUGUGUAAUGUAGCGGUGAAAUGCUUAGAUAUUACACAGAACACCGAUUGCGAAGGCAGCUUACUGGGCCAUUACUGACGCUGAUGCACGAAAGCGUGGGGAGCGAACAGGAUUAGAUACCCCUNUANUC